rnacentral:rRNA from 1 species
GACAGAGGGUGCAAACGUUGUUCGGAAUUACUGGGCGUAAAGCGUGUGUAGGCGGCCACGUAAGUUGGAUGUGAAAGCCCGGGGCUCAACCCCGGAAGGGCAUUCAAUACUGCAUGGCUUGAGUAUCGGAAAGAUUGGUGGAAUUCUCGGUAUAAAAAUGAAAUUCGUAGAUAUCGAAGGGAACACCGAUGGCGAAGGCGGCCAACUGGACGAAUGCUGACGCUAAAACACGAAAGCGUGGGGAGCAAACAGG